rnacentral:lncRNA from 1 species
AGAACUAGGGUGGUUUAAUUUUAAGUAAAAAAGUAACUUUGCUGGGAAAGAUUGCCGGAAGAGUAUAUGACGGCAAAGCUUUAAUGCUAUAAAAACACUUCAAUUCCAGGCCAUAUUUUUCUUUUUAUAAUCCACGGCAAAAGCAGGUGACUCAAAACGUCGCGUCGGUAUAUAAAGUCACCCCCUCGCCCUAGUAGCAAAAAUACGAAUAAAAUACUAUUUCAAGAUACGGUAUUUAUCUGUAUCAAAAUACGUAUUUUAUACUUUGAAAAUAGAUAUUUUAUCUCGUAUUUAAUACAUGAUAAAAUAUGGUAUUUUUUCCAGUAUUUCCAGGGUUUAAAAUACUGUAUAUAGGUAUCAUAUUUAUACCGUAUUUGGAUAUGAUAUUUAUACAGUAUUAAUACUAUAUUUACACAUUACUUAUUAAUGGUCGAAAAAAUUUCUGGCACUCACUUGCGCGAUUAAUUUAUAUUUCGAAUGCGUUUCGCCAGCUCUCUCUUCGGCAUCCUCAGCGCGACCCCGCGUGGAGUUGCGCUGUGGAUGCCGGAGAGAGAGCCGGCGAAACGCGUCCGCAAUAUAAAUUUAUCGCGCGAGUGAGUACCAAAAAUUUUUUCGAUAACUUUCUUGUGCAAGUCUCAAAAAUAUUUUUAUUCAGUAUUAAUGUGAUGAUAAUUUGCUGGCCUUAUGGAUUCCAUACAAUGAGCUGGGACAGACGGUGGAGUAAAGGUCAGCAAGACCAAUAAACAAUCUUCCAAUUACAACUUCACAAUUCAGAUCUUCGGAGAAGGCCAAAUUUUCAAUUCUCAUGAUUUCACCAUUUUCGAAGCCACAGCAACUGUUUGCUGUAGAAGCAGUUGUCAAUUUGAAAGAUGGAUAAAUUAUCCAAGUAUACUGAGGGCUCCGGCAACCUUCAAGGAGAGGACCUCUAUUAUGGAUACCACCAAAGGACACGUCCUUUGAUACUAUAGUAACUCUUUUCUUUUGCACAUAUUCGCUCUGUAAACCUUCAGCAAUUCUUCGCCCACAUUGCUCUAUUUUCUUGGGGUAGGCUCGAGCUUGACGCUUCAAUUCCUGCAUGAAGUUUUCAAAAUCAAAUGUUGAAACAGUAUCAGCUGUGCAGAAGGGAAUGAUCUCACGGAAGAACCUAAUAUCAUCCGGUAAGUGAAUCAGGUUGUGCAUCAUAUGCGUCAUGAAAGUGAUUGUGUAGAGAGCAGGUACGGCACUAACAAAACUUUUCAACAGCUGCUCAGCAUAAUUAAGUUGAUCUGGGUCGGAGCAGUGUUUCGGGCUGACUAAAAUUAAAAUAGCCAAAUGGAACAUUAUGAAAUGAUUAUAACGGUCUGGCUGCAAAACGUCUUUUAAAAGUACAGGACCCAGGUACAAAAGCCAAGUACGACACUCAGUUGCUUUAUAAUGAGCUAAAACUUCGAUGCGUCUAGGUUUUUGUCCUGCAAACUCAUAGGGUAAAUCAGCGCUAUGUUGGACUAUUUCCUUGGAAACUCUUUGCUUCAUAUGUGCUCCUACUUUGAAUUUGGAAUCGUUGUCAAACCACACUGUCAGGAAGAAUUUCAUUCCGCCAUGCAGAGUUAAAUGUUGAUAAUCAAGACUCAUCGAAUGACCAAAAUCCAAACCGGGAAUUUUCAGGAGCGGUGUGUUUCGACCAGGAGGUCUAUGAGCAGUGUCAUCUCUGUUCCUGAACUCCAAGUCUGUCCUUGCUUCACAGCUGACUUCGUUGAAAAUUCGCUUAUGUGAUUUCUUCACUGUUUCACCUCUUACAGUGACAACUUCAAUGUCUUCCCCUUCUAUUUUACACCGGGUACAAGAGAAAUAUCCAUUAGGGUACACAAUGCCAAGCAGGAGCGAUUUGGCAGGACCAUCACAUGCAAAACCACCUACAACAAUUUCAUAAGUUACCCCGUUCACUUUCAAACCGUUUGAGGUUAGAUUGCAGAGUUCUUCAAUGAAUUCUUUCAAAAACUCUUCAUUACUGGCCGGCUUAUUAACACCAUAGUAUAACGCAACAGGCAUAACUUUACACUUGAUUCCAGCUGCUAUUAAGCGCAUUAGAAUAGGCCAACAGCAAUCAUUACAGUGUUUGACCAUAUUUAAACCAUCAAUAUUGAAGAAAAAAAUUAAUCUUCUGAGACCAAUGGGCAAAUAUGGAAUUAGAGGGAUAAUUUGAGUUUCCAUUCCUAUGUGAAUAUAUUUACCAGGAAUGUCCGAAUUAAGAGCCUUCACUUCUCGAUAAUCGGUUUUGCCAUUGGGUGUUUUGAAGUAAGUGCGGGCAUCAAUCUUCAAAUUCAAAAAGCACUGCGGAUGCGCACACUUCAAUUUGCGAGCAAGGGAACUGAGUUGCUCAUGGCUGACAUCAGCUUCGAAUGCCCAAUCAGUCAAAACAGUUGUGAUUGAUGUAGAGGGGUCAUCAUCACAACGCGCAGGUAUACUGUCUACCGAGGCAAUAUUUGGUGGUUCAUGGCUGUUCGGAAAUUCAAAAUUAGGCAAGGGAAUGGGUUCAUCUUCAUCUUCUGAUUCAGAAUCAAAAAUGGGAGGACGCUGACAGAAUACUUCCUCAAUGGGAGACUCAGGGAGCUGAUGGACAUGGUCAUGGGACAAUUCAUUAUCUUCCUCUGCUUGCAGAUCAGAGGCCGCAGAGAGUUGCUCGGAGGACUUUUUGCUCGUCUCCAACAGUGACUCUCUGGGAGUGCCUUCGCGAAUAUCAUCAUGUUUCCUCUUUCUGGCUGCCGCAAGGCGUUUUACUUUCCCGCUCUCCGAUAAAAAUGCAAAGGGCUUUGACAUGUUGUCAGGCACAGGCAGUCACAGAAUCCUAGAACAAGUAAGAACACCUAAAUGGUAGCUGACUUUACCUCAGUGUUGUUUGAAGCAUUCACUUUCCCUUCCAUAGUGGAUUUAGAGCUCACGCAUCGUAUGUUGAGACAAACGUCAAUCUCCGUUUAGCUCUGAAUUUGCACCACUCAACAGGGUAAUACAUGGAGUCAGGUGGCACCACUGGUGAAUGGUGGCAUAAGCAAUACUUUGACGUUUGUCUCAACAUACGAUGCGCGAGCACUACCGUGAGUCUUGUCUCCAAACCAGCAUGGCUUCAGAAGAAAUCACUCACUGGAUGAUAAUCACAAUAUAUUAAAUAAGGAGAUCUGGGACUCGGGGAGGCAUUUGAAGACGAUGAAUGUUGUCACAAUCGUCCUCUAGGUUCUUAUAUGGGUUCUUAUGACACAGCAUGGCCUAACGAGUCUCAUUAGGCCAUGAUGACGCAGUAGAUACCACUAUAUAAUUCGAGUGUUAUAUGAACACAGAAUCCUGAAACAAGUAAAAAUACCUAAAUGGUAGAGAUGUUCUUACCUCGGUAUUAAUUGAAGCUGAAGCAAUUUCUUCAUUCGACUCCAUCGUGCACCUUUCAAGAACUUCAAAUACACCAGUGCAAAUGCAAAUGCAUGCAAAAUUACGCGCGAACAAAACAAAACACUGCCGGCGCCGGGAGUCCCGAUGUUCGGUGAGACCGUAACCGUUCGGUGAACCAGUAACCGUUUCCGUCGGCAUCGCAGCCACGUGGCGCGCAAUUUUAAAUAUCUGGUAUAAAUACCUAUAUUUGGAUCCGAUAUUCAUUGAAUAUUCUGAUACGGUUCAAGUGUAAGAUAAAUACGUAUUGAAUAGCGAUGAUCGAAUAUCGAAUAUUGAUACAGUAUAAAAAUAGUAUAAAUACGUAUUAAAUAGAGGUAUUGGAUAUUAAAUAUUGAUACAGUAUAAAAAUAGUAUAAAUACGUAUUCAAUACGAUAUUUAUACGUAUCUCUCUGAGACGUAUUACUGUGGGGAUGAGGAUACGUAUUUUUGCUACUAGGGCGGGGAAGAAACAACCCAGGCACCCUGUUUUAUUUAUUAUGCAAAACGUCUUAAAAACGUUUUGUCAAUAAUUCGGUCUUUCAAAAUAUUUAAUGAGAAGUUUUUCGUUAUAAAAGUCCAUUUAUUACUGAAUUUAUGUUAAUUUUGGCUCUCCUCAAGCUUGCACAUGAAUAUUCAGCUUAAUUCUUCACAACUUCCCCUUCAAACUUUGUAUGUUGAAAUUUCUUCGCACCGAAAAAUGGUAGCUUGGCGUUUUGAAUGCCAAAAAUGUGUCUGGGG